rnacentral:rRNA from 1 species
UCAGGUGGCCGCAGAGAAUAGGCCCAAGCGACUGUUUACCAAAAACAUAGGUUUCUGCUAAGUCGCAAGACGAUGUAUAGGAGCUGACGCCUGCCCGGUGCUGGAAGGUUAAGGGGAUCUGUUAGAGCAAUCGAAGCAGUGAACUUAAGCCCCAGUAAACGGCGGCCGUAACUAUAACGGUCCUAAGGUAGCGAAAUUCCUUAUCGGGUAAGUUCCGACCCGCACGAAAGGCGUAACGAUUUGGGCACUGUCUCAACAACAGACUCGGUGAAAUUGUAAUUCCGGUGAAGAUGCCGGAUACCUGCGACAGGACGGAAAGACCCCAUGGAGCUUUACUGUAGCUUGACAUUGGGUCUUGGUACUACAUGUACAGGAUAGGUGGGAGGCUUUGAAACCAGGACGACAGUUUUGGCGGAGCCAUCCUUGGGAUACCACCCUUGUAGUACUGGGACUCUAACCAUAGGCCAUGAAUCUGGUCUUGGGACACUGUCAGGUGGGCAGUUUGACUGGGGCGGUCGCCUCCCAAAAGG